GACGAACGCUGGCGGCGUGCUUAACACAUGCAAGUCGAACGAUGAAGCCGGAGCUUGCUCCGGUGGGUUAGUGGCGAACGGGUGAGUAACACGUGAGCAAUCUGCCCUUGACUCUGGGAUAACUGCGGGAAACUGUAGCUAAUACCGGAUACGACACCUUGGGGCAUCCCAGGGUGUGGAAAGAAUUUCGGUCAAGGAUGAGCUCGCGGCCUAUCAGCUAGUUGGUGAGGUAAUGGCUCACCAAGGCGACGACGGGUAGCCGGCCUGAGAGGGUGACCGGCCACACUGGAACUGAGACACGGUCCAGACUCCUACGGGAGGCAGCAGUGGUGAAUAUUGCACAAUGGGCGAAAGCCUGAUGCAGCAACGCCGCGUGAGGGAUGAAGGCCUUCGGGUUGUAAACCUCUUUUAGCAGGGAAGAAGCGAAAGUGACGGUACCUGCAGAAAAAGCACCGGCUAACUACGUGCCAGCAGCCGCAGUAA
rnacentral:rRNA from 1 species